rnacentral:rRNA from 1 species
CCUACGGGUGGCAGCAGUGGGGAAUAUUGGGCAAUGGUCGCAAGCCUGACCCAGCAACGCCGCGUGAAGGAAGAAGGCUUUCGGGUUUUAAACUUCUUUUAUCAGGGACGAAGCAAGUGACGGUACCUGAUGAAUAAGCCACUGCUAACUACGUGCCAGCAGCCGCGGUAAUACGUAGGUGGCAAGCGUUAUGCGGAUUUACGGGGUGUAAAGGGCGUGUAGGCGGGAAAGCAAGUCAGAUGUGAAAACCAUGGGCUCAACCUGUGGCCUGCAUUUGAAACUGUUUUUCUUGAGUACUGGAGAGGCAGACGGAAUUCGUGGUGUAGCGGUGAAAUGCGUAGAUAUUAGGAGGAACACCAGUGGCGAAGGCGGUCUGCUGGACAGCAACUGACGCUGAGGCGCGAAAGCGUGGGGAGCAAACAGGAUUAGAUACCCGAGUAGUC